ACAGAGGUCUCAAGCGUUGUUCGGAUUCAUUGGGCGUAAAGGGUGCGUAGGCGGCGCGGUAAGUCGGAUGUGAAAUCUCGGGGCUUAACUCCGAAACUGCAUUCGAUACUGCCGUGCUUGAGGACUGGAGAGGAGACUGGAAUUUACGGUGUAGCGGUGAAAUGCGUAGAUAUCGUAAGGAAGACCAGUGGCGAAGGCGGGUCUCUGGACAGUUCCUGACGCUGAGGCACGAAGGCCAGGGGAGCAAACGGG
rnacentral:rRNA from 1 species